rnacentral:rRNA from 1 species
UACCAGCACCCCGAGUGGUCGGGACGAUUAUUGGGCCUAAAGCAUCCGUAGCCGGUCCUACAAGUCUUCCGUUAAAUCCACCUGCUUAACAGAUGGGCUGCGGAAGAUACUACAGGGCUAGGAGGCGGGAGAGGCAAGCGGUACUUUAUGGGUAGGGGUAAAAUCCGCUGAUCCAUAGAAGACCACCAGUGGCGAAGGCGGCUUGCCAGAACGCGCUCGACGGUGAGGGAUGAAAGCUGGGGGAGCAAACCGG